UACAGAGGUCCCAAGCGUUGUUCGGAUUCAUUGGGCGUAAAGGGUGCGUAGGUGGCGCUGUAAGUCGGGUGUGAAAUUUCGGAGCUUAACUCCGGAUCUGCGGUGGGUACGGGCAGACUAGAGUGAUGUAGGGGAGACUGGAAUUCCUGGUGUAGCGGUGAAAUGCGCAGAUAUCAGGAGGAACACCAAUAGCGAAGGCAGCUCGCUGGGACGGUACUGACGCUGAGGCGACGAAGGCG
rnacentral:rRNA from 1 species